rnacentral:tRNA from 1 species
GCGGAUGUAGCCGAGUGGAUCAAGCAAUGGAUUGUGAAUCCAUCACGCGUGAGUUCAAUCCUGGUCAUUCACC